ACCAGACUCCUACGGGAGGCAGCAGUGGGGGAUAUUGCACAAUGGGGGGAACCCUGAUGCAGCGACGCCGCGUGGGUGAAGAAGCGCCUCGGCGCGUAAAGCCCUGUCAGCAGGGAAGAAAAUGACGGUACCUGAAGAAGAAGCCCCGGCUAACUACGUGCCAGCAGCCGCGGUAAUACGUAGGGGGCAAGCGUUAUCCGGAUUUACUGGGUGUAAAGGGGGCGCAGACGGCGAUGCAAGCCAGGAGUGAAAGCCCGGGGCCCAACCCCGGGACUGCUCUUGGAACUGCGUGGCUGGAGUGCAGGAGGGGCAGGCGGAAUUCCUGGUGUAGCGGUGAAAUGCGUAGAUAUUAGGAGGAACACCAGUGGCGAAGGCGGCCUGCUGGACGAUGACUGACGCUGAGGCUCGAAAGCGUGGGGAGCAAACAGGAUUAGAUACCCUGGUAA
rnacentral:rRNA from 1 species